AAAGGUUCAAAACAAAAGAAAAAACAAGACUCCGAUGUCUCCCCCAAGAAAAACCCAACCUUAGACAAUUUCCUGUUCAGAAAACGAGCAGGAGAAGACACAGUAACUGACUUGGGAGACCAAGGUGCAAGCUCAUCAAACAUUGUAGCGGCUUCUCCCAAGAAACCAAAGCUAGACUUUAAUGCACAAGGGAGAAAAGAUAAAUACUUGGUGGAUGUUUUUGCGGGCGUCAAAAUGGAACUUCCGAAGAGAGAUAUUGCCGAUUACGAAACCUUGUAUCGGUACUUCGUUGCUUACGGAGGUGUAGUCCUACACCCGAGCACGGCGAAAGAGGAUCGCACACACGUUCUGUCGACGCCGUCAACUAAGGCGAAAGGCUUGUCAGUGCCUCUUGUCCAAGUUUCUUGGCUUUGGGACAGCAUAAAAUUGCAAAAACUUCAAGAUCCUAUCAAUUACCUGGUUUACUGAGGCUUAAUUAUAGAUGAGAAGGAGGAAGGAUCUUGAGUUAAAAGGUAAACACCUACCCUUUUUCUUCUGUACUAUCGGAAGUGUAAGAACAAAUAAAAAAUCGAGUAUUUACUGCGGAAAAUAUUCUGAAUAGUACUAGUCCUCACUCAGGGAUCUCAGUCCUUGCGUAGUAAGUUCAGAGCAUCGUAACCGACCACUGGACAUGGUAAGGACUGGUGCAUUUUAAGAUAUGUUUUUCAAUCUCAAAUUAAACAGAAUACAUUAAGGUAAUUCGAUGAUCGCUAUUAUUUGUGUCAGAGCGACAUGCGAUGUAUCGCAUCGAUUGGUUCCAUUUUUUCAACCACUCGUAAUUUUUUUCAAAUUUUGAGAUCGCAAUUCUGUCGUCAGCAGACUAAAUAAUUCACUUACCAAUUUUGAAAAACGAAUUUAGCGUAGUAAAGGCGUGGUUUUUUUAGAGGAAAAAUAUCGCAUUCGAGUGGGGUUUCGAUAUUAGUAUCGAAUACGAUAUUUUUCCUCUAAA
rnacentral:lncRNA from 1 species